CAGUGCCACGCUGGGCCGGGGGCGGGCUCCGUCCUGGUUUGAGGAGUAAUGAGGGGCGGGGCGGCCGAGGUCCCCCCGGGGUCCCCACAUUCCCCGAUCCGUGCGUCCCCGGGGAACGCGGAAGCCGGAGCUCCAGUCCGAAGGAGGCGCGGGGGCGACGUGGUGCGCGGUUUGCAGGACAAGGUGCAGCAGCCCUUUUGAGAUGGAAGCAAACCCUGGGACCAGCAGCACAGACACCACAUUUCUGCUGCAGUGUUUAUCUUGUUGUGGUUAUCACCCCUGUCCUUAUCCUGGGACUUGGCAUAAUAUAUUGACGGUGCAUGGAAA